rnacentral:lncRNA from 1 species
GGAACAGAAGCCUGGGCUGAGAACAGGCCGUGGAGAGUCACAAAUGGUCUUCAGCCGUCGGAAGGCACUGUUAGAUUUACUCUUCACAAAGAACAUUUUGGGACAUCUUGGUGUACGGAUUAGAAGGAAGGACAGAAGCUGCUGUUGUCUGCCUUUGAGUCACACAGAACCACUUGCAGGAAGAACUCUAGAGAAUUUGGGAAGAAAGGGGGAGAGGACAGACAAAAGAUGCAUUUUUCUUUCAAGAAGCAGGAAAAUGUAAGGAAAAUUGAAGGUGUUCUCAAGUGUGUCUGCUGCUGCCUGACACAGGUUAACCCCGUCGCAGGUCACUCCGCUCUGUUAAUUGCAUCCUAACCUUCCUCGGCUCUUCGGCAGCGAAAUCGCAGCAGAGGAGAUGGAGCAGCUUCGUGCGCAUUGCUCAUUUGCGCCAACGUGAAAAGAACUGCCAGGAUGCCCAGGACACCAGCUCCCUGGCUUCUGCGGUGCUUGCACAGUCCUGAAUCAGCCCGAGAGCUGUGGAUCUGCGUCCCCUGGCUGCAUAGCCGACUGCCGGCUCCAUGGAGGGGCCUGUGCCGGAGAACGCACAUGUUGACUUAUUUCUUCAGUCUAGGCCUUUCUUGGCCCCCUUGGUUAUUCAUUCUAGAUGAUACAACUCUUAUUUCAGUUCAAAUGUCUCACGGAAGAGGCAUUGAAGACAGAGUGGAUGCCCGUGUUUGUUGGCAGUAGGUAGUAUUUACCACUCCGGUUGUAGUAAAAGAACAAAAGGAGAAAUUACACCUAUUUCUCAUAUUUAAGGGAAAAGCAAUUAAAUCACCAAAGUCAGAUUCUCG